rnacentral:rRNA from 1 species
CCUACGGGGGACAGCAGUGAGGAAUAUUGGUCAAUGGACGAGAGUCUGAACCAGCCAAGUAGCGUGAAGGAUGACUGCCCUAUGGGUUGUAAACUUCUUUUAUAUGGGAAUAAAAUGUUCCACGUGUGGGAUUUUGUAUGUACCAUAUGAAUAAGGAUCGGCUAACUCCGUGCCAGCAGCCGCGGUAAUACGGAGGAUUCGAGCGUUAUCCGGAUUUAUUGGGUUUAAAGGGAGCGUAGGUGGAUUGUUAAGUCAGUUGUGAAAGUUUGCGGCUCAACCGUAAAAUUGCAGUUGAAACUGGCAGUCUUGAGUACAGUAGAGGUGGGCGGAAUUCGUGGUGUAGCGGUGAAAUGCUUAGAUAUCACGAAGAACUCCGAUUGCGAAGGCAGUUCACUGGACUGCAACUGACACUGAGGCUCGAAAGUGUGGGUAUCAAACAGGAUUAGAUACCCGGGUAGUC